rfam:Hordeum vulgare subsp. vulgare, WGS project CAJW01000000 data, contig: morex_contig_1969363
UUUGUACUCCCUCCGUCCGAAAAUACUUGUCUAAGACAUGAAUGUAUCUAGAUGUAUUUUAGUUCUAGAUACAUCCAUUUAUAUUCGUUUUUGCGACAAGUAAUUCUGGACGGAGGGAGUAUCUC